rnacentral:rRNA from 1 species
CCCGAUUGGGGACGCGGAUGGACAUU